GUAACGGAAUGACAUUAAAUAUUAGCAAUCCUGCGCGGUUCUUACGAAAGCACGCGUUCCAAGCGACGACCGAGGAUUACAAUUUGACGUCUAAUAUCGUGUUGCAAUCGUUUAGUAAACAUAGCGCUAAACAAUUGAUUCGAUCUCGCAAUCAACUACCGAUCAAUUUGGUGCCGCGUCUUAUGGUAAAUUGCCAAAGUCUGCUGACAAAUCAUGGCCUUUCUUUGCGGUUUCGAUGUUGGUGGUAUCACUUUCACACUGUUUUAUUCGUAACAUUCUGUGGUGUGAUUCUUAAAAAGCGAAUCAUGAUCCGCCACUGUUAUUUUAUGUGAUCCUAAAAAGGACCAAUGCACGAUUUGCAAUUUGCGACGCACAAUUUUAUAAUGGCGCUGAUAAAAAUAGAAACAAUGUACAAAAUAUUUACUUAAUCGUACAUUACCAAAACUGCUAAAAAUGGAUAUACAAUAGUUGUGCAGUCAUCGAUAUAUUCAUUUAUCUAUAUUUCGUAUAUUAUUAUAUUUUAUUAUCUUACCAUAUUUAAACCAAAGUUAGAUAUAAUAAAAAAAAAAUGUCAUUACAGCACGAUCAAAUUUGAAAUAUUGUCAGUCGAUAAUUCAUGCUAUAUAAUAUCAUAGAUUAUUUGCUUUUGUCAUAUAAUAACCCAAACAAUAUAAUAAAACCUAACUGAAACCAAAAUCAUUAAUAAUAAUGAAUCUAAUUACCUGACAUAGUCAGAUUUUAGAUAUGAUAACUAGAUAAUUCUGCUGAUUUCAUAGAUUAUUUACGUUUGUCAUAUAAUCACAAAAAGCUUUUUGGAAUUAUUGCAUAAAGUAUAUAUUUAUAGUAUAGUAUAGCAAUUAUUUGUUACAAAAAUAAUGAUUUUACGAGAAUAAAUUUCAAGCUCGAAAUACAAAAGUGAAUUUUUUCAUACCAGACGUCAUUUACAAGAAAAUUGGCUUUAAAUAAUUGUCUGAUAAGUGUUAUUUAAUCCCGUUGUAAACCGGUAUUUUACUUGUGUUUAAGUUUAUUCUAUCGGAUAAUGGAGAACAUGCAAUAAAAGAUGAUAAGAAACUUUAUUACUUUGUAAGAAGGGAAAUUUCAUUUCAUAGCAAUUUAAUUCGAAAGAUGCAGUUGUGUAUUUAACAGUGCGAGGAACAGUUUCGAAAAUAAUAAAAUUUAUUCUCUAUCAAUGUCCUGUUUCAUCGUGUGUUCUCGGUUACUCAAUAUGUACGUAGUAGAAAAACAAAUAUAAGUUAAGAUGUUGCGAUAUAGCAAUAUCCGGUAGCACUUAGCAGUUAAA
rnacentral:misc_RNA from 1 species